ACCAGCAGCCAUAUCACCCUGCAACUCACAGCUGGCAGCCCACUGGAGCUCAGCAGGUGUGAGCCUGGCCAGUACCUGGAUGGGAGACCUGCUGGGAAACCUAAGGCUGCUGCUGGAA
rnacentral:rRNA from 1 species